CUGGCAGCAUCCCAGCAGAGUCAUAUUCCCAUUGCAUUCCUUGGAUAUCUCCCAGCCACUGGCCUGAGAAAGUCACUAACCUUCAUAUGCUUCAUUGUUCUGGCGGGAUGUCUCCAUCCGGAUGGUGUCGCGUGACUUCUGCUGACCACUGAGCAUGCACUUACACAGCUCAUCCCAGAAACAUCUGAUCUAACAGACACAUUCUGGCAAUACCACACCCCCUGCUCCUCAACACCCACCAGCAGUAUGCACAUCUCUUCCAGAGCUGCGGAGCAGCUGGGAGAAGGAGGUGCACCCAUGUUCCCCCUCACAAGGACAUGAGGGAAUUGGGACCAACUGCUGCUGCCACCACUGCCACCUGCUGAGAUCUCCAGCUCAAAGUGACCUGGACCUACUCCAUCUUCUGGGGCAGAGAGGUAAAUGGAGAUACACGUGGAAGGAUCUGGGGGCUAAGAGUGGGAAAAAAGUAUGAGGCAUCAUUCAGAGCUGAGAGAUGGGGUGUGGGUGAGAGAAAGGGGCAAUACGAGAUGGGGAGCACCAUGGUGCGUGGGGUACAUCACUCAGGAUCACAGUGAUAGAGAAAGGUGCAUUCAAGCCAUUGAAAAUUCUUUGUUGUGAUUCCCCCUGUAAGCCGAUGCAAUAACACAUGGGGAACUAUGCAGAAGAUACAUUAUGACUGCACAGUGGAGUGAGGAAAUGCUAGUCUGGAGGCUUGCCAUACAACAUUAAUUCUCCUCCUUGUGCUUGUGCAUUAUAGUAUAGCCCUUAAAGACACGAUCACGUAGUUCUGUUUGGAUUUUUCCACAGGACCCCUAACUCCUUUACUGCCAAGCUGGGGGUUUGUAGGAAAUGAGGGAGGGGAUUGGAGGUGGAGAAGAGAUUAUCUGGUCAUUAGCGCAGCUGAACGCUGCCUAGCCCUCUCCUGCUGCUGUCACUUAAAUAAGCACUUUCACAGUUGGCCAAUACCUUCCACUCUGUUUGCCAGGCUACAGACACCUGGGGUCAGACUGGCAAAAGUACCGAGUGAUCUGCAUUGCAAGCAAAGUGCCUUCAGAGUAACAUUAUGGGAGUCUCUGGUUCCAGAGGUUCAAGAAUCCUGGCCAUUCCCAGCAGAAACCCUGGAAAGAAGUUCCCUGUACCACAAUCCCUCUUGUUUCAGCCAAGGAUGUAUUUUGCCCUCAUGGAUAGUUUGUAUCAGGCUAUCACAUGUUUGCCACUGAUUUCCUCUCCAAUUUGGGUGACUUCAGCAUCAAAGCUCACUAACAAGGGCCUUCUAGAGGCUGCUCAGCUCAUUUGCUUCUAUCAUCUCAACUUCAUGUCUUGCCCAAAGAUGUUCUCAAGUGUUCUUAUUUAUUCACUGAACUUUUCCCAACAUUAGGCUUUCUUGUCCACCCACCAUUCUCCACUCCCCCUCCCAGUCCUCUCCACAAUUUUCGUUUCCUUGUCCUUUUCUCACAGUACGUGCUCAGCUCUUACAUUCGCCAAAAGCAAUUGUUUUUUCUUAUAU
ensembl:lncRNA